ACGAACGCUGGCGGCGUGCCUAACACAUGCAAGUCGUACGAUAUAGUGGCGAACGGGUGAGUAACACGUAAGCAACCUCCCCUUAAGACUGGCACAACCUCGAGAAAUCGGGGCUAAUACCAGAUGUGGUCAGCUUGGCACAUGUUAAGCUGAUUAAAUCCAGCAAUGGGCUUAAGGAUGGGCUUGCGGCCUAUCAGCUAGUUGGUGAGGUAACGGCCCACCAAGGCAAUGACGGGUAGCUGGUCUGAGAGGACGACCAGUCACAAGGGAACUGAGACACGGUCCCUACUCCUACGGGAGGCAGCAGUGAGGAAUUUUCCGCAAUGGGCGAAAGCCUGACGGAGCGACGCCGUGUGUGGGAUGAAAUCCUUCGGGAUGUAAACCACUGUCAGAGGGGAAGAUAUUGACGGUACCCUCAGAGGAAGCCCCGGCUAACUACGU
rnacentral:rRNA from 1 species